AUUCUAUGUAAGUAAAUACUAGCAGGGCAUUCUCUUCCAUCAAUUUCUCUCACACUUACGAUGAAAGCUAAGAGCUUGCUCGAAGACAGCCUUUACUUUUUAGUAGUAAUCUUUCAAAUACUUUAAGAGGGGAUAGGUUCAUAGGAGGACUUGGUUACAUAGGAAGGAAAGAAUUAAACUAGAAGGGAUAAGAAAGGAAAUUACAUGAUAUCUUGGUAAUGGCACUCCAACAAGCUCGGCAAGGAGAGAAAGAAGAGAAGGAGAAGAGGAAGUACAGUGAAAAGGGUAUGAAAUAGGUUUCUUGUCACGAUUAUGAUUGCUUAUUUAGUUGGGAUUAGCAUCUUGACCAAAGAAUAAGGUAAAAAGAAGAGUUCCUGUCUUGGCUACAUGCCCAUUAAGAGCUAUACCUGGAGUCGAGCUAACUGCAUAGGCAGAGGGGAACUUUUCUAAAAAGACUAAUAGAAAUUAACCUCAUUAGAAACAUUGAAUCACACUCUGAAAGAAGGUUACAUCCCAAUAGAUGUCAGGAGGGAGCAAGGCAUGAUUACUCUAUCAUUCUCUGACCGCCCCUCUUUCCAUCUCUAAGUAUUGGUGUUAGUGUGUCUCGUUGAAAUUAUUCUGGUCAAUCCCUUUCCUGAACCAUAGGUAAGGGAUGAUAGAAGAUGGGCCCUAUAGCAAAAUAAACUAGCCCCUCAUUUGAGAGAGUAAAUAGAAUAGUGUUGGGCUUACAACAGUCUAACUUUUGCACGACUAAGCAAAUACUAAGCUCCCGCCCACCCCCAACCAAUUAGGGUAAAGUGUUCAUUCAUACCUGUAACAUCACCAAGAUAUUGGUCCAUGACCAUGUUUACUUUAUCUUCAAGAUCAAGCAUCCUGGCUCUCGGGGCCUCAGGCAAUCCUAGAUCCUUUCCUACUUCCUUAGUGAUUCCGAGAAGAUGCUUUAACCUCAUUAAGUUUUAGCUGGAUAUCAUGGUCCAAUAAAGAUUUCCAAUUCUAUUUUGAAAUAUUUUCAUCCGGGAUUGGAACGACCUAUGUUUUAAGGGAGGAGAGAAGGUAAACUAGCUUUCUUUAGUCGCCUCUCCCAUCUAGUCGAGUAGCUUUCACUCCUUCCUACUUACUUUAUUAUAAUAUAAAAUUAAGAUGGUACGUGUCCUAGUGGGAGAUUUUUAGUCAUAGUGGGAGCUUUUAGAAAUCACUUAGUACGUCAAGAUCAUAGGAAGAGGGAAGAACAAGGGAGAAGAUCUUCUUUAAAAGAAGACAAUUCCAACAGAAAGUCAAAAUGGGGAAUAGGAUGCCUUAAAGGUAAAUAAUAAAGAUCCUAAAUUAAAAAAGAAAAUACCUAUUAAACUGAUUACAAGAAUACCAGUUACAGUACCUAGUAUCCAAAGAGGAAUCCUUCCAGUAGUAUAGGCUAUUUACCCCACUUUCCUCCAAAUUUCAUCAAGUGGUUAUGCUAGAGACAUAAACAUCCUUGGAUAAUUGAAUUAUGAGAUCCUUCCAAAUGAGAUAAGAGAAUCUUAUUUAUUCUCUUUUAUUUUUUUAAUUUAAGAGAUAAUUGGAAAAUAAAAAAGCCAGUACAAAAAUGAGUAAUAACCCCCAUAGAGACUGGUACGAUGAAAUACAAAAUUUUAUUCGUUCGAGUUUGAUUGUGUCAUGGAUCUACAAUUCAGAUGUUCUUUAUCAUUGGAUGAACUAUUGAUAUUGAUCCCAAAAAACAAAUGGUAGGUACAGCUAGGCCGUGAACAGCCAACAUCGUAUUGUAAAAAUUGAACAGGUUCGAUCUAUAGUCAUUAGGGCCUCCUAAAACAAUCUACUAAAUUCAUCGAGUUGUUCCAAAGGAUCAAAAUGGCCAGUUAUUAAUGGAUUCCAUUGUUGGGUAAGUUUCAACCUGCACAAAAGGUGUAAUGAUCUGGGUACUAUGUCGGAAAGAGGCUCGGUGAAAUAGAUAUAUCUGUGAAGAUGCAAACUACCUAUACCUAGAAAAAAACACCCUAUGAAGCUUCACUAUUCCUUGGGAUUGGCUUUUGGCCUUUCCUGCUCAUCUUAGGUGGAAGGCAAAGAAGGCCUUUUUUAGGGGCCUCGAGCUAUCAGUGAGAUACCACUCUGGAAGGCUAGAAUUCUAACCUUGUGUCAGGACCUACGGGCCAAGGGACAGUCUCAGGUAGACAAUUUCUAUGGGGCGUAAGCCUCCCAAAAGGUAACUGAGGCAUACAAAGGUUUCCUCAGGCCAGAUAGAGAUUGUCCCUUGAGUGAAAAGGUAGAAGAGAGCUUGACUGCAAGACCCACCCAUCGAGCAGGGACGAAAGUAGGCCUUAGUGACCCGGCGGUGCUGAGUGGAAGGGCCAUCGCUCAACAGAGAAAAGUUACUCUAGGGAUAACAGGCUGAUCUUUCCCAAGAGCUCACAUCGACGGGAAGGUUUGGCACCUCGAUGUCGGAUCUUCGCCACCUGGGGCUGUAGUAUGUUCCAAGGGUUGGGUUAUUCGCCCACUAAAGCGCUACGUGAGUUAGGUUCAGAAUGUCAUGAGAUAGUUCGGUCCAUAUCUAGUGUGGGCGUUAGAGCAUUGAGAGGAUCUUUCUCUAAUAUGAGAGGACUGGGAAAGACGCAUAUCUAGUGUACCAGUUAUUGUACCUAUGGUAAACGCUGGGCAGCCAAGUGCGGAGUGGAUAACUGCUGAAAGUAUCAAAGUAGUAAGCCCACCCCAAGAUGAGCGCUCUCCUAUUCUGACUUCCCCAGAGCUUUCGGUAGCACAGCCGAGAUAGCGAUGGGUUCUCUGACCCUACGGGGAAGGAGCGACAGAAGUUUAUUGAGAAUUCAAGAGAAGUUCACAACGAGACAAGCCAUUUAUCAUUACGAUAGAU
rnacentral:rRNA from 1 species